AUAUAUAUAUUUAGUGCGUAGUUACUCUUUAGAAACAUUUCCUCAUUAUGUUGAUAAAAAACAUAACUUAGGUGCCAUUACUUUCUUUUAGAACAUGCAGUAUUUUCUGUUGCAAAUAAGCAGUAUAAAACAUAAUUUUUAGGAGACAGGGUUUGAUACCUUCAGACAGGCGUCCAGGAGGCAUUCCGAUCUUAUGCCUGAACCUCCUCAUCUGGCCUCUUUUAUUGCAAAUAAGCAUUGGUUCUUUUUCAAGCUCCCUCUAUGCAUCUGGCCUCGACUCUAAUGGUGUAUUCAGACCAAACGUGAAGCAAAUUUUUCACAUGGCAUGAUUGCAUACAAAGUCAAUGUAAAGACGCAAAUAGACCUGAAUUUGCGCCGGGCGACGCAAGUUGACACAAAUAUGUGUCCGUGCGUUAAAAAUGUUUUAACUCGAGCCAAAAAUUUGCACUUGUUGCAGAGCUUUAUGAAUGUACUUUAUAAACAUACAGAGAGGACUGGGGUGCAGGAGAGAUAUUGGAGGGAAAUAACAGAAGAAGAACAACAAGAACCGGAGUUCCUGGUGAGUUCAGACAGGAGUUAAACUGAACCCAAACACACAGACACACCCUGUGCUAGCUAGCUUGCAGUUAAUGUACAGUACUGUACUUUGGCUGUUUGGGGCAAGUAAUCACAAAUGAUCCUGGAGUCAAACUCAUGCAAGUAACGCAAAGUGAUUUUUCGUCUCGCAUUACUCUGGACGUCCAAACACACCAUAAGGAUGAGUCCAGACACCUUGUGAACGAGUUUCAUCUCAGCUGUGUCCAAGAUCUCAUUCUUGAGUAACACUACACUAAAGCUCAUAACCAUUAAAAACUGGGACGCAGAUCAAAUUGUUAAUCGUUACUUCACCGUUAUCCCCCCCCCCAAACUGCCUCACACUAAGCUCCAACCGUCAAAAUGUGUGUUGGCGGUCACAGUGUAAUGAAGCCAACAGAUCCCCAACAGAGAAGCAAUCCUGAGGCCACCAAACUGGAAUCUCUCUCUCUCCUCGGCUGCACUUUGAAAUCUUGUCCAUGAGAACCACAAGCAGAAAUUCCGUCAACAUCCUCUGAGAAUGCACAAAUGUUAGUGUUCAUUGUCAAGUAAGCUUAAAACUGGAAAUAAGUUUUUUAUUUCUCCUACUCAAUAACUGUGAUGGGUUUCCAUGGGCUUGUCAUGAAUUAGAUCCAACAAGAAGCUCACUUCAACACAACCACAUAUCAUUUUUCAUCUUGGCACAAUCCCCAAUCUCUUUGAUGCUCCAGUUUGUUAUGUUCGCUCGCCAAGAACGUUGCAGUUCAUCACCAUUCUGCUUCUUUCUAUGGGGUGAAAUUCACAGAUGGUAGGCGGGUGCAUGUCAGGAUCUUUCAGAUACUCCCAUAAGGAAUGGAAAGAUGUAUUAUUUAUCAUUUCACUGUGUAUGUGUGUGUGUGUGUGUGUGUGUGUGUGUGUGUGUGUGGCAGGGGCCUGGGGGGUGGCUGAAUGAUCUGUGAUGUAUAUGUAAUUGCCCCUUGAACUGCUCCUUGAAUUGCCCCUGUUCUUUAAUGUAUGCAUUUAGACAAAUGCCCCUACCCACACAUGCAGAACAUCUGAAUAAUUCACAUUUAAGAAGCUCUCCACACUCCACAACUCAGUAUUAUAUCAUCUUAUAGCUCAAUUCUCAACACACUUUUAUUUUGGGGAUCUUUAGUUGAAUGUGCUCUAGUCAGACUUGAUUUUUUGUGUACUUGUGUGUUUUAAUGCCUGAUACCUGAUAUGGGGGGCUUUUAUGUCUGUAAAUUGCCUAAAAGUUGGAGGUUGGAGGUCGGAGGUCGGGGUAGAUGGACAGUGUACAAGAUGCAGGACUCAUAGCCACAGGAGGGGUGACUCCAGGUGGCUGGGGCUGCAUAUAGGCUCAUUCGUGUUGUUGCAAGAUUUUAUUUCUUUCUGUGGCAUGCAAGCCAGUCCUGCAAAAACAAACCUGACACAUAAACAUAGUGGAGCAUACAAUACUAAUGUAACAGAGUCACAAAACCACAGUGACGCAACAGCUCUCUCUUUGUGAUUUUUUUUUUUUUUUUACUGGAAUCCGCAGUAACAGACAGUAAACAUCAAGGAACCCCUCAUGGACAGCUGGGAAUUCUUUCCUGCCAUGCACAGUGCCUUGGG